CCAAGAACAAAACUCGUUGACUACCGACUACAACGAUAAAACGGAAGAAGCUAAGAUUCAAAAGAAACCAAAUAUUUUCUUUUGAGGAAGAAAGAAAAACUAAAAAAUCACAGAUGACAAAAUGGGGAAGAGGGGAAGAAUGUGCAACUCUAUUUUUUUCCUUUUUUUGGGAUUUUUUCUGUACUAUUUUCAAAAUAAAAAAUUAAAUUAAAGUAGCUAAAAAUAAUAAAUAUUUUAGAAAUUAAAAAAAAACAAAGCUAAAAUAAAAUUACUCCCUUAACACACACGAAAAUUGGAACCCAAAACCUAGAGGCAAACUAACACAAAUCCAACCACCG
rnacentral:lncRNA from 1 species